AGACCAUGGUGUGGACAGCAUCUCAACAAGUCCUUGUACCUCUCCUAGGCAUCAAACAUGCUCUCGUCUUCCAUCUACACAAAAGAAGAAUUGUCAUUCCUUAAUUU
rnacentral:snoRNA from 1 species